UAACAAAAUUUUCACCAACCCCUCAUCUUUGUCUCUUUCUUCUACACACAAGAUAUAUUAUUCAAUAAACAUGCUCAAAGAUAUGAUGUCAUGCUAAUAGGCAUUCUUCAUAAAUAUUCAUGCUAUUCAAAAAUUUGAGCAAAUUAAAUAUCUUGUAGCCAAGGUUAUUUUCUAAUUCCCAUGUUACUUCAAAGACAUAAGGAUGAUGAAUUGGAUGAAAGAUAGUUUUCUUUUUCAUCAUAAAAAGCAUAUUUGAUAUACCAUCAAAGAAACAAAGACCUAGGAUGAUGAGCUGAGGUAAAUAUUAUUUAUUUACUUAUUAAUUUAUUUGUGUUUGUACGAGAACACAUUUGUUAUACAAUGGAAUAAAGGGAGCAAUACAAUUGCAUUCUUUGUUAAGAAUAAAUUCCCAAACUUCCUCCACUGCUAAGCCACAGUCACUCGCUAAAUGAACUGUAUCAUGUUGCUCAUAUCUCUCAGUGAACUCUCUACAAAUGCAUGCAAAAUAACACAAUUCUACCUCCACCUAUUGCUC
rnacentral:lncRNA from 1 species